CUCCACCUCCACCAUCACCAAAACCUCAGCCUCCUUAUUAUUAUCACUCUCCACCUCCUCCAACACCAGUUGUUAAGCCACCAUACUACUACCAAUCUCCACCUCCUCCAUCUCCAAAACCUAAGCCUCCAUACUACUACCAAUCUCCUCCUCCUCCAUCACCAAAACCUAAACCUCCUUACUACUACCAAUCUCCACCUCCUCCAUCACCAAAACCUCAGCCUCCAUACUACUAUCAAUCUCCACCUCCUCCAACACCAGUUGUGAAGCCACCAUACUACUACCAAUCUCCACCUCCUCCAUCACCAAAACCUCAGCCUCCUUACUAUUACCAAUCUCCACCUCCUCCAACACCAGUUGUUAAGCCACCAUACUACUAUAAAUCUCCACCUCCCCCAUCACCCUCUCCUCCACCACCAUACUACUACAAAUCUCCACCACCACCAUCCCCAUCACCGCCACCUCCAUACUACUAUAAAUCUCCACCUCCACCAUCACCGGUUGUUAAGCCACCAUACUACUAUAAAUCCCCACCUCCCCCAUCACCCUCUCCUCCCCCUCCAUACUACUAUAAAUCUCCACCUCCAUACUACUACCACUCUCCACCUCCACCAUCACCAGUUGUUAAGCCACCAUACUACUACAAAUCUCCACCUCCACCAUCACCCUCACCUCCCCCUCCAUACUACUAUAAAUCUCCACCCCCACCUUCACCAUCCC
rnacentral:lncRNA from 1 species